rnacentral:lncRNA from 1 species
GCCGAGCGUCUGGCCUGUGUUGGCUGUAGGCAACGAAAGGAGCCCUCCCGGUCUGCGCCGGAUGGCCCCGGGCGGUGACUCGGUCCGGAGCCCUGGAACGCUACGCCCACCUGGCGGAAAGCACCACGGAAACGCAUCCUUCUGUGGCCACUGUUAGGUCUGCCAUUUUACACUUUUCUGAUCUCCUCCUUCCCUUCUGUGAGCUAUGUCUCAGGGGUCAGUGACAUUCAGAGAUGUGGCCAUAGACUUCUCCCAGGAGGAGUGGAAAUGGCUUCAGCCUGCUCAAAGAGAUUUGUACAGAUGUGUAAUGUUGGAGAACUAUGGCCAUCUGGUCUCACUGGGUCUUUCCAUUUCUAAGCCAGAUGUGGUUUCCUUAUUGGAGCAAGGGAAAGAACCCUGGCUGGGGAAAAGGGAAGUGAAAAGAGAUCUGUUUUCAGGUGUCUUUUUUGUUCCCAUUGUUAGUUCUGUCUGGUCUCUGAAUUUCAUUUCUUUUUGUUUUUUCUUUCCUUUCUUUCUUCAAAUGGACAUA